rnacentral:rRNA from 1 species
UACGAAGGGUGCAAGCGUUAGUCGGAAUUACUGGGCGUAAAGCGUGCGUAGGUGGUCCUGUAAGUCUGUCGUGAAAGCCCUGGGCUCAACCUGGGAAUGGCGAUGGAUACUGCGGGACUAGAGUACGGUAGAGGAUGGUGGAAUUCCCGGUGUAGCGGUGAAAUGCGUAGAGAUCGGGAGGAACAUCAGUGGCGAAGGCGGCCAUCUGGGCCAGUACUGACGCUGAGGCACGAAAGCGUGGGGAGCAAACAGG